rnacentral:lncRNA from 1 species
GCGGCUGUGAGGGGCUGGGUGGUAUCUGCGCAGAAGUGCGUUUGCGCAGGCGGGGUGGGAAAUACUGAGAAGUACAGUGGAGUUAACAGCCUGCCUGCCUGCAUUCCAGUUUACAACAGUAUCAUCAAUGACAACAAACAAAUAACUUCAUUCUAUGACUGGGAGGCUGCAAAUUACUUGACCUGUAGAAAUCUAGGCAUCAAGCAGUCAUAAUGUUAUCUAAAACCUCUGGAAAAGAGGCAUUUCAUCUUGAAGGGCUGGCUGCUCUCACACACUUUUAUAUCCGCUGGAGUGAUCGAGAAAUCAUGUCUGGUGGAAGAAGUGAGUUUCUGUGCCUUGGAAUGAUCUUGGGCUUUUGGAGCUCCGUGAGUUGGAUGCCUGUUGGAGGCUGCCCGCAUAAAUGUACGUGCAUUGCUUCCAACGUGGAUUGUCAUGGACUAGGACUCAAAACUGUACCGAGGGAUAUUCCCAGGAAUGCUGAGAGACUGUAAGUAGUAAACGUUAAGGGCUCCUCAA